UUACAUGGGAUUGGAUGGGAUUGGACAUGCUUAUCAGCUUGGGUUACACUAAUCCCAUGUUUGGCACAAACCAGGACUGUUUUAAAUGAGACUCUAGAGUCCCAAAUUCUCUCUCACACCUUCUACCAUAGAGCCCCCAAAAACCAUGGGACUAUGGAAGCUCUCAUGCUCACCUUCUACUGAAUUCUCGUUCUGCUCUCCUUCUCAACAACUUUCACCAAUUCUGAGAUUAAACACAAGAACACCUCAUUUUCUAGCCCCAAUUGAACCCGGAACCUCUGCCAUAGAAGGUUGUAGCCACGGUGGCUGAAUACCCAGAAAUCAAAUCUUCCAAAAUGUUAUCGAAUUCAAAAACCAUGUAUACUAGCAUGUUGAACACGAAGAACAGAUCAACGCUCCCCGACUUCAGUAUUCCCAAACAUAUGGCUUCCAGGACGUAACCGGCAGCCAUUUUCGAGCUUCACCGACGACCCAACAGUACAAAAGGGCCCAAUUGAAACACCCUGAUCGUAAAAACCAAAACCCACAACCACACUAUGAGUUUCAAGCAUCGCUGAGUGGCUAAGAACGGCAUUGGGGUGAACGAUCGCAGAGGGGUGAAUGAAGCCAUCAGAAACUGUGCUGCAGAAGAAGCGUCGUCGCAGAGAGAGAGAGCUCUGGUUGUUUAGGGCAGUGAAUAAGAGCUUUGGUUGUACAGAAACUACAGGAGACCCCAGAUUUUCGAGGCCCGAUUCUCUCUCCACACCCAGCAACCAGACCAGCCGAGGCUAGAGGAACGUCGACGACGACGAGAUGGAUCAAACCCAAUCGGUGCGCCUGCCGGAGGUGGCCUGAUGGCAGAGUUCCGAUCAGCUGCCGCUUAGUGCUUCCCUGGUCUUCAGGUCGAUGGUGUUGGCUUUAGUUUUAGUCCUGACUGACCAAACAUGGGUUAGGGAAUAAUAUAGCAUAAUCCAAGCUUGAGGAGUCCAGAACUCUCGUAGAAAUUAAGGUGAGGUAUGACAGUCCGGUGAAACAAACACCCCCUAACAGCUUCUCUCUCGAAAAGUAGAAGCUGCCUGACCCGUGCUUUGAGAAGCCAGAAGCCAGGAUCCUACUGUAGCGGGAGUGACUGUAGAUUAAUGAAUCUUUGAAAAUACCGGUCUCUAUCCUCCCUUGGUUGAGGCAAUUACGGAUUGCCAUUAAACCCUUCUUCUAUCUAGACGCUGCACAAUCUCUCUCCCUCUCAUCACAGACGCCGCAUCACACACACCCUCCCUCUGACGCUGCCUCAGCCUCUCAUCACGAUUUCGGGUUGGAAAUCGAAGCCUCAAUCAAGGCUGCUUGGCAAUUUGAUUCAGUUGCGAAAUUCGAGUGUGUGUUUAGUGAAGUUGGUGUUGUUAAAGAAGAUGGGUUUUCGAUGCCUGUGAACCCCAGCAGCCAAGAAACCCUGGGUCAUUGCUUCAUAGAGUUUAAUUCUCCUCAGUCCUCAAGGUAUCCAGGGUCUCCUUCCUUGCUUAGUCCCGUAACAGAAGAAGACGAAGAACCCGUUCAUAGUGAUGAAACUAGUGCAGAUGACCAUGACGACAUAAUGCAGUGGAGUGAGCAAGACAAUGAUAUGAGCAGUGAGGAAUUUAGGGAAGUCAUUGAAUAAAAAUAUGAUCACAAUUCCAAUUCCUAAUGGGCAUAUGCUGAGGGGAUAUAUGCGGUAGAACCGAUUAGGCUCCAAAUGCUCAUUUUGUCUUGUGCUAGAUUUGAAUCAUCUGAUUAUAAUUCUACCAAACACUCUUUGGAACAUUUGACCUGCCUCCACUAGUAGGAAAUGAUUGUAUUCUUGAAAGGAUGCUGUUAUGCAGUUUGAGCCAUCAAUAUUGAAAAUUAUUGUUACGAAGUGUACAACUUAA